UCUCCUCUUCCUAUGUUCCACCAUCAUUACCUCCGACCACUAUACACAGAUACAUUCGCAUGAAACUAAGAACAAAGUGAAUUAGGAUUGGUGGACUGAUUCGAUCAUGAGUUUUUGCUUCUUUCAAUCAUUUAGAGGAAGGAAUCUUCAGAUAUCAGGUCCUGUUGAUCCAUACAAAAGGCCAUAUAAGUGUAUUAGAUUUGUUCCAUUCGAUUUCAUGUUCUACCUUUCAAUCCUCAAAUUUCUUUCUAGAGUUUCACUGAGUAGGCUGAAUCAUGAACAACAAAAAAAUCUCUGCAAUUUUUUUCUGGGUAUACAAAACUUUUAAAUAUGGUACACAUAUCUCUACAAAGUUGUUGUCUUCAAAAACAAAAAGAAAACUCACAAUUGAGGCCAUUGCUCAAUCAUUGCUAAAGGAUCAAGACUUACCUAGAAAAAUAAGAAAUAACAAUCGGGUUCUUAGAAAACUAUAUGCAUUUUGAUGGCAAGAAACAAAGAUGAGAGCUCAGAGCUCAGGUCAGUCACUAUCUGAGUGGAGCGGAGACAAAAGUGAAUUCUCGAAUCAAGUCCAAAAGGUAUUUAGAAGAUGUGAAAGCUCCUAAGCAAGCUUUCCCUUCACACGUUUCUGUCAUGGUUUUAGAGGUGCUGAUCAGGCAUUCAAAAGAUCAAGGUCAUUUGCCUGUUAAAUCUACUCAGUUCAGACUUGAUCUUCUCAAGAAUGUUGAGAGCAAUGCUGAGGUCAAAGUUUUGGAUGUUGAUGCCCUUUCCAUAUCACACACCCAAGUGAACCAAACAGCGAAACAGAGGUGGAGGACCUAUCGUGUCCUGUAAGAAUCCAUA